GCAAACUUGGUCAUUUAGAGGAAGUAAAAGUCGUAACAAGAUUUCCAUAGGUGAACCUGCGGAAGGAUCAUUAUUGAAUAAAACCUGGUUGAGUUGUUGCUGGCUUUCAAGAAGCAUGUGCAUGCCUAAUCCGUUUUUUUUAACCACUCUGUGCACCUUUUGUAGACUCUGCUUAGUUUGAGGAAAUUGCUGUUGUCUGAAAGCCUCAGCUUUUCUCAAGAUCGUUUGGGUUUAUAUCACAUAUUACAUCCCACAAUGUAUUAGAAUAUUAUGAAUAGGCCAGUGUGCCUUUAAAACACAAUACAACUUUCAACAAUGGAUCUCUUGGCUCUCGCAUCGAUGAAGAACGCAGC
rnacentral:misc_RNA from 1 species